rnacentral:lncRNA from 10 species
GAAGCGGAGCGCGCCCGUGCGAAGCACUGGGUGGCUCCAGCUCCGCCACUGCGCGCGCUCCAGCGCCCCAGAAGGCAGGGGGCAGCCCGGGGACCGGGGUCCCGGAGCCCCGUGGGAGGCGGGCAACACCUGUCGGGACCCGAGGGCGUGUCUGAGAUUGUGGCCUGAGGUGCUGCGCCUUCCGAUCCGGGGCAGCGGGCGUCCUGUAGCUGCGCCUUCCGAAUCCAGCCCAGAUUCUCCUACCAGCUGCUUGGGUCACGUCGGUGGAACUCCUAAAGGGAUGCCUUCAAAAUGUGUGAAUAAGCUUCAAUCAGACUGCCCUUCCCAAAGAAAAUAACUAUAAAUGCUGGAAAAACUACAAAACAGCCACCUGAAGGCACUGGCGAGAGACAAAAGCAAGCAAAUUCUGGAGAAGAGUCAACACUUGGAAGAAGGGAGCUGCACUGGGUACAUGGGGAAGGAACAGUGUCUCUGCAUGAGAAUGGCCAAAGAACAAGAUACAUUUCCCCGUGGAGAGCAAUCCUAGAGAGAGGGAAGCAUGGGUCAGAAUAAGGUGUACUGGCCCCAGGACCUGCAAGAACAAACCCAUUGAGAUGGCUACAGAAUGAGAAGGGAAGCUUUUUCAUGGUGUAAGAAGUAAGAAAAAUUGAUUAGGAAGAACUCUGUGGGUAAGGAGAAAGAAAACCUACUAGGAGACCAUUAUUGCAGUGAAG